rnacentral:lncRNA from 1 species
GUUUAUAGUUCCAUUACAGGAACAGCUUUCCACUGAACCAUUACUUUAUGAUUCUGUGGAGUUUGCUAAGAUGCCACAGUCCAGCUGUAUGAAAUGUGGUAAGAAAAUACCACUGCCAUUGCUGCCCUUACACAUUGAAGAGUGUAAAGAAGCUGAGACAGAGUCUUCAAAUGAUGUGACCAUUCUAGAUGAUGAUGUAGACGAAAAUGUAAUCGAAACUGUUGACCAGCCAAGCCCACUUCACCCCAUCUUAGAACCAUCAUUACAGAGAAAGGACUUUUGGUGACAAUGAUUCUUCAUUCACUUUAAAUACAGAAGAAUUGCCAGGACCCUCAACUGCACAAUCUUCAACAUCCCUGUCUGCAGGUUAGACACAACACAUUUAAUUU